rnacentral:misc_RNA from 1 species
UCCGGCUUAUCACCGGCAGUUUCCUCAGAGUUCUCAGCAUUACCUGUUAGCAACAGAGGAUGAGGGUUGCGCUCGUUGCGGGACUUAACCCAACAUCUCACGACACGAGCUGACGACAGCCAUGCAGCACCUGUGCUUCCUCCACCCGAAGUGAAGCCCUCUUUUCGGAGGGCGUUAAGGAGCAAGUCGAGUCCUGGUAAGGUUCUUCGCGUUGCCUCGAAUUAAACCACAUGUUCCACCGCUUGUGCGGGUCCCCGUCAAUUUCUUUGAGUUUUAAUCUUGCGACCGUACUCCCCAGGCGGGGUGCUUAACGCGUUAGCUACGCCACAGAGAGGUAACCUCCCUACAGCUAGCACCCAUCGUUUACAGCGUGGACUAC